UAGCUUGCUAUCAGGCGUCGAGCGGCGGACGGGUGAGUAAUACUUAGGAAUCUACCUAGUAGUGGGGGAUAGCUCGGGGAAACUCGAAUUAAUACCGCAUACGUCCUACGGGAGAAAGGGGGCAACUUGUUGCUCUCGCUAUUAGAUGAGCCUAAGUCGGAUUAGCUAGAUGGUGGGGUAAAGGCCUACCAUGGCGACGAUCUGUAGCUGGUCUGAGAGGAUGAUCAGCCACACCGGGACUGAGACACGGCCCGGACUCCUACGGGAGGCAGCAGUGGGGAAUAUUGGACAAUGGGGGAAACCCUGAUCCAGCCAUGCCGCGUGUGUGAAGAAGGCCUUUUGGUUGUAAAGCACUUUAAGCAGUGAAGAAGACCUAACGGUUAAUACCCGUUAGCGAUGACAUUAGCUGCAGAAUAAGCACCGGCUAACUCUGUGCCAGCAGCCGCGGUAAUACAGAGGGUGCAAGCGUUAAUCGGAAUUACUGGGCGUAAAGCGAGCGUAGGUGGCUUGAUAAGUCAGAUGUGAAAUCCCCGGGCUUAACCUGGGAACUGCAUCUGAAACUGUUAGGCUAGAGUAGGUGAGAGGGAAGUAGAAUUUCAGGUGUAGCGGUGAAAUGCGUAGAGAUCUGAAGGAAUACCGAUGGCGAAGGCAGCUUCCUGGCAUCAUACUGACACUGAGGCUCGAAAGCGUGGGUAGCAAACAGGAUUAGAUACCCUGGUAGUCCACGCCGUAAACGAUGUCUACUAGUCGUUGGGUCCCCUUGAGGACUUAGUGACGCAGCUAACGCAAUAAGUAGACCGCCUGGGGAGUACGGCCGCA
rnacentral:rRNA from 1 species